UGCGUUCUGCGCUUCUCGACAGGAACAACUGCAUCCCCGGGGCCUUACUGAUCUCUAAGGGAACUGUCCCUGGGAAGGCUCGUGAGCCUUCUCAUAUGGUGCCCACCUACUUUGUAGGUACCCGGGAUCAAAAUGAGUCCAUCGGUUGCUGUGGUUCGCAC
rnacentral:other from 1 species